UGCGCCAUCAGCAGCCUGCGCUUCUUGGGGUGAGGGAAGGCACGGUUGGAGGGCAGGCAAAGUGUGAUUAUUGCUAACUCGCCGACGCAGCCCAGCGCCAGCGCCAGCGCCAGCGUCUGCUCCAGCUUCAACUCCAGGAGCGAGGGGCCGGCGGCCGCUGACUUCUCACUGUCUGCUGCGAGAGCCUGCAACCAACUUCUCGAGCUCGGCCUGGCUGUCCAGGGAGCCAGCCCUGGAGACAAGUGCCUUGGAAUGUUUUGUCUAUUGUGAAGCUUUUGCUUUUGCGGCUGAAAGAUUCAGUUCCAGGGGAGAGAGAUGCCAUAAAGUCGCUGCUCAGAAGAGGCUGGGGCUGGGAGAUGUACUAUCAUUUGGCUACCGUGGCACUGGACCUCCAAUCUGGUGAUCAUUUCAUUCCCCAAGCCUUCUACUCUAUUCCUCCUGAGCUCAAACAAGGUUUACAGAGAAAUACAGGGACAUGUUGAUAAAUGAUUAAUAACAGGCACUUCCCUCCCCCACCAAAAAAGAGUGAAGUCCAACCAGAGGCUUCCCUGGGACAGCCAAUACUCCUCAAGAAGAAAUCUGCUUCAGUUCUUUUGAACAGCACAUGUUAUAUUAAGCUAUUGCACACAACAUGAUGUGAAGACCUCUCUACACAGACCUGCUUUCAAGUCCAGCUUUAGAAUUAGAAUGGAACAGCUGAAUGUCCUUGCAAUGGUUUGUGGGAACAGGAAGACUUCCAGCCUGUGACCUGAGGAAGUAUGGGGACAUACUGGUGGGAGUCAACAAGUGUUCAGUUGUUUUUGCUGUUAUUUUAUUAAUGAAUUAAUUUGUUCAUUCAUUCAUUCAUUCACUUAUUUAUUUUUUGCUUUCUUGGAGAGGUGGGGAAGCAGAUAAACAAAUUACAUACAGAAAGAUGAUGUUAAGAGAUUGAUGAAGAUCCCUGAAUAUUGUCAGUGUCACCAUCCAGUUAUUGCCCUAAAGAUGUGGGAAAUAAAGUCAAGUUAUUGUUUCAAAUUCCUCACCUAUUUUCUUAAAUAUAAAAAUGACAAUACUAGUUUAUGUGCCAUUUUAUUUCAGCAGGCAUGGGGUUGGGUCCAAUCAAGUGUUGAAAUACAUUUGUAGUAGAACCAAAAAAUAAAACUGCUAUCAAGUCACUCAAUAUCUUAGGUAUCAGUUUCCUCAUCUGUAAAAAAUUUUAAAAAUUGAAUAUAUCUAUUUGGUAUAAUAGGUAU